UAAAAACGUUUCUCAUUUGACUAAGGGGCAUCUCUUUAUUCCUUGCGAAAUCUUUGUUACACUUUGCGGCUUUUAGAAGAAGGAUCAAAUAUAUAAGAAAAUACUUGGAAUAGGAAACCGGGGAUUUUAUAACGUCUUAUCUGUUAAGAGAUGUAACUUAAAAUAUGCUUUUGGCCUGAGGGAGAUAAGAAAAUAUUAGCGCACCAGACAUUAAAUGGUUUGGUAGUCAGUGAAACCAUGUUAACGCACAGGAAUGUUUAUAGCGUGCAUUGUCAUUGAUAAUACAAAAGACGCUGGCCUCACGGAAAUCCAUGAAAUACACGUGACCUACUGGGAAUAAAUAAGAGCACCGGCCUGCAGUCUUCGUCAGUACAUGAAGAAAGUACUACAUAUCUCGCCAGGAUCCGUCCUCACAAGUUCUAAGUUCCAAGGAAAGUAAAGAAAGCUAUGGAAGCAAGCUUUGUUUGUGCCUGAGGUUGUUAAUUUGGGGCACUCUUACCGUACAAGGACAAAUUCCAAACAAAUUCAAGAAGAACAUUUUGGAAGUUGCUGCCAGGCAAAUUCCUGCAGCCCUCGAAGAUGCGCAUGCGAAGUCUUCUGAGCGCGCUGCGAAACUGCCGUCCCCCUUGAAUAUAGCGAAUGAUGACGGCAAUGAUGUCUCAAAAUGAUUAGUUGGCACAAUAAGUACUGAAUAAGUAACUGAAUAAAGCGGGUAAUGGGUGCGGAUAUUGAAUGUAACAAUGGAAUAAAUAAAGGCUGAAUCAUUCAGAAACAUUUUUUCCUGCCUCCAUCAUGUAUGAAAACAGCAAGUAAUAAAGUAAAUCAAAGGGACCCCAUGGGAAUUUUGGAAUGCCACGUUAUUGAAUUCUUUCCGAAAAAGAAUAAACAAGUUUGAUUGCAUUAGGACAUUAUAUGAAAGUUGACAAAAUUAAUUUAGACUUAGGAAAUGUUUGGCUCUUUUCAAGUACUAGUUCAAGUCAGAAAGAAAAAAAAACAGAAAAACAGAAGGUUUGAGAAGGAAGAAACCUUUCUUAAAUUCGCACAAGGCAGACGCUAUAAUAGGGGACAUAAAAUGCGACAAAGAAGCAUUUUUAUGGACGAGAUAGUUCCCCUGAUAUAAAGUUUGCUAUGUUUAAACCAAAUCGCGUCAUCGUGUGUGGCACGCGUGCGUAUUGCUGCAAGGGCGCCGCAUGGAUAUGAAUCGAGACAGAACAUCGCUUUAGUGAAUCUGACACUGAUGUUUUUUUAUGAGAAGUUUUCAUUCCAAAUUUAAAUCGAACUCUCGUUGAUUACGUAUAUACAGCUGUUUCGAGAAAGAUUGUAGGAAGAAAGCGUAAACGUGCACGUGACAACCCCGAGAGUUAGUAUGAAUAGAAGUACGUAGUUGCUACACGCACAGUCACGUUCCGAGAGCCUGCGUGACCCUUGCCCAGCAGAACGGGAAACGAAGGACUCUGGGGUAGAGUGUUUUCAAUCACAUGGUUCUCCUUCCUCCGGCUAAAUUACGCAGGCGUGAACGUGUAGUUCAGGAUGGCAUCUGACUCCUCGGCUGACUCGGAGACUUUCCACAAAGCUAUCAAGUUUUCCUUAGAGAAACUAUGUAAACCCGAACGAGAAUUGAAGAGAGGACAGUAUGAUGCCACAAGGGACAAUCAGGGAUGGACUAUUGGUAGCAAGGGCAGUCAUUCAAUUAAAUGACUCAUAUGACAUCUCAAAAGUCUGCAAAAAUAUGACUGACGUAAUGUCCAAUCCAAUCCAAUGCAAGCAAAAAAAUAUUUUGGAUUAUUUUGACCUUGAUG